GGCACGCACGAGGACCUCCAAGAGGACCCUACUGUGGAAGUUUGAACUCUUCCUCCAAUUUACUUGCUUGCAUAACUUGGUGAGUGUCAAGUGUAUGCCUACUUGAACCCUAAAGUCUUGAUUCAUGCUUGAUUCACCUGAUUUCAUGCUUAGCUUAACUGAUUUUGACAAAAUGGAGUCGAGUGUGUACUUGAUCGCACUCGUUCUCAUUUGAAACGAAUGACUCAUGCUUAACAUGAUUUGCUUGGUUUACAUGACUUGAAAUGUCUGCUUAAACCUAUCAAAUGCUUGAAUACAUGAAAUGGUAUGCUAUGAUUGCAUACGUCGAUGGAGUGAAUCUCCUCGACAUUUACAUGACAAAUGGGGGACGCCCAAACUCAUAGGCCGACCUUGGAACUCGAGCCGGCAUGGGCUUGGUCGGGAACCUCGGUGAGCCAUGAACUCAAAUGAUAAGCUUGAUCUAUUGAGAGAUCUCGCUUGGCAUACUCGUAUAGUAUCGCCUUAUAAAUGUAGUGCGGGCCCGAAGUGGUAUAUGGUGGACGGAUGGGAAGUAAGUGGUGAACUACGGAUAUGAAAAUAUCAAUCCGGUUGACGGAGAGUCAUCACGGAAAGAUAUAUAAACGGUGUCGGCAAAUGUGGAACUUAGCUCCUGAGAGCUUCUAUAUCCUUGAAUUGUUUCUGGUUACAGUUUAUUGGUGUUAUUAAUUACUUGCAAGAUAAUACCUGAAUUGUUAUUGGGCUUGUUAUCUGAACUAUGUGGUUGCAUGUGUGUUCUUGGCCUCACGAGCGUUUUGCUCACCCUGUAGAUUUGUUUUCCUUAACAGGUUUGAACUCGAAGGUAAAAUGGAGAAGCCCUCUUGAUGUACUUUUGUUUAGGGCUUGUUAUUACUUUUGGUUAUGCCUUUGGUUUUGGAAUUGUACUUUUGGUAUGGAAAUGUGACCUUGAGAACUGUCACAGUUGGUAUCAGAGCCAUAUGCCGACAGUUGGGACCUUAAGUCCUUCGUCUGGAAAAGCCCCGAGCCUCUCGUUCGUGAAGAGUCACGAAGCGAAACUCUCCGUAGGGAAUGCCCGCGUGCGGGUGGUAAGCUGAUAGGUACCCCGUGAUGUGACCCUUUGGACGAAAUGUAAUCGGGUAUUCUGACGUGUGGUUUGGAGAAUGGAUGACUAUUAUUAAGUUUGAAUACUUCCGCAUUUAUUGUAUCUAAGUUAUUGGCUUGUAUUGUGUGGUCCGGCUAUAAGUUGAAUGGAAUUGCUUGAGUCCUGGCGAGAGCUAG
rnacentral:lncRNA from 1 species